rnacentral:piRNA from 1 species
CAGGAAAAAAAGAACCAUUUGGCUAUA